rnacentral:tRNA from 1 species
UACUAUCUGUAAUAAUAAUUACUUAAAUAAAUCCUAAAUUUAUUGCACUAAUCUGCCAAGAUAGU